GGGUAACCUGCCUCAUACGAGGGGGAUAACAGUUAGGAAACGACUGCUAACGACCGCACUAACCCGCUUAGUGUCGCAUGACGACGGAACGGAAAAAUUAUUUAAUUUUAACGAGUUAAAAUUUGGUAUGAGAUGGGCCCGCGUCUGAUUAGCUAGUUGGUAAGGUAACGGCUUACCAAGGCGACGAUCAGUAGCCGACUUGAGAGAGUGAUCGGCCACAUUGGGACUGAGACACAGCCCAAACUCCUACGGGAGGCAGCAGUGGGGAAUAUUGGACAAUGGGGGAAACCCUGAUCCAGCGAACCGCCGCGUGAGUGAAGAAGUAUUUCGGUAUGUAAAGCUCUAUCAGCAGGGAAGAUAAUGACAGUACCUGACUAAGAAGCCCCGGCUAACUACGUGCCAGCAGCCGC
rnacentral:rRNA from 1 species